AUAUCACUGAAUAAACACAACAAAGAAACACAAAAAUAAGAUUCUCUUAAAAAUGCGUGUGUCACCAAGCGCGCGCGAAGAAAGAGUGCAGUUUGGACGCGACAAGUCGGUGAGGUGGAGAUAGUCCCACUGACCCCUUUUUCAUUUCUAGCUCUAGAGACGCGUAUGGCACAUAAUGGAUUGAAGGGAUACUACAAGCUAUAAUGUGGGAGACCGAGAACGAAAUAUUAUUUCAAUUGUGCAAAAUCAUGACGUUACUGAUUAAUGAAUAGUCCAAUAAAAAAAAACACCACAUUCAAAAUUAUAUUUUACCGUAUGAAUGUUUCAUAAAUUAUUUGUGUUAGAUUUGUCAUUAAAUCAACUUUAAAUAUGUUCUAUUGAAUUAUUGCAUUUAAUUUUAUAUUUCAAAUGACGGUUACAAAAGUGAAUUGGCGUGGACGGCUGAAGAGGCCCCCAAGAGUCUAUAUAACCAUAAACAAUAUUUUCAACGAAAGGAAGAACAGAGAGUUCUUUCAUUAUAUAAUAAAUUUUCGUUGAGUCUUUGUAACUAGGUUUUAGUCACCUGGAAAAAACCGCGCAGUACAAACAUCUCUUUUUCGUGCCAUUUAAAAGGAAUAAAAAAAAAGCAAGCUUAAUUAAUUGUGUAUAGUAUUCAUUUAUAUAUCCCACUUCCAAUAUCUUCCGAGACCUGUAGAGGAAAAAUUUUUCGAGACGUUAUUACAGGGAUGAGGUGUAUGGGAGGAACAAUGGAACAUUCUGGAAAAAUCAUCAUUGGGAAGUGGUGAUCAGGCAGUGCGCCUUGGACCGCUGGCGAGUGAACAUCAUAGAAGAAUUGUCUACGACUACCCCUUUAUUUAAACCAAAUAAUUAGUUAGCCAACCACUCUUGUAAUACUCAUGAAUUUAAGUAUACGUUGAAAAGAACUAUUGAUUUAACAUUUUCUUGAACACUCCCGGCGCUAAAAUUUGUGCAUCUUACAGAACAUAGAUUAAAUGUAUACGAGGAAUUAUAUAAACGGUGCAUUCCUGUGAAAAAAAUCAAUUUGUGAAUGUUUGUAAAAGAUCUCUCACCGUUGCUUAUACAAUUAAAAGAACUGAUGAUCUUAAAAUCCCAUGAGUAUUAUUAGAAUGAUGGCAUUUAAAAAACAGAUAAAAAAACUGAGUUUCAGUUUUUCGCGGCUAAUUAUUAUAAUGAACCGAGAAUUUUACAUCGUACAUCACGAAAGACCAAUUAAUGGAAUAUCGGUGAGAGCGGUCUCGUAAGACGUCAAUUGAUCGCUUGAUUGAAAAUCAGGAAAAAACAUCAUCAGCAACUUAUGAACCUCAAGUGAUUUCCAGCGAAUGUGUUAUUAAUAAAGUAUUAUUCUCUGCCAAAUUCGCAGAUAUUACUUUUAAUUAUAAUUUAGUUGGAUAUUGGUAUUGAAGGUGGUCUCCAUUAUAUCAGUAGUUUUGGAACUAUCCUAGAAUAGUAUUCCAGAGAGAGCGAUGACUGCAUGCAGAUUCAAUGAUCCCCAUUUUGAUAGUUGCAUUUUAUUGCCAUUUUUCCUCCCGAAUGAAGCCCUUGUAUUUGGCGGAUUUUUUGACCCUCUAAUUUAAUUGCGAUUGCAAACUAUCUAGAAUCUUUAGAAACGUGAAAAAACUAUGUUUUUUUAUAUCUUAAUAUCAGUGUGUACAUGUUGAAAAAAUUCGCAAUUUUGACGACUAAUUUUGAGAAAAUUCUUCAUGAAUGCGGUAAAAUUUGUAGCAAAAAAUUUAAAUUUUCAACUUCUAAUAGGUAUCAUUAACCUUUACUUUAAUGCGUCAUUUCAUCUCAAUCAGUCCCGUAGGUCCUGAAAUAUAUCAACUAUUGUUAAUUUCGUUUUUCCUCAAUAUCUCAAAAACUACUGGAAAGAUUUCAAUUUUUUAAAAAAUACUCAACUCAGUGGGUUCUAUCUAUAUCGAUGGAAAUAAUCACAUUUUUUCGGAUAAAAUUUCGAGACAUCGCCGGUUUUAGGUUUGAUCAUUGUAAACAUUGACAACAUGGUAAAUUAAUAAAAAGUCGAGAUAGCGAGUUGAAAUUUUGUACACUUGUAGCUCUCAUAACAUCAAAGGCUGUUCUUUUGGACGAGUGCAAUCAGCCGGGCGGUUCCACACUUAUUACACCUUUUGCGUGAAUGUAUUUCCUUUAAUAUCUCAUAAACCACUCAGCAGAUUUCAAUUUUUUCCUCUUUAAAAUGCUCGUCUCAGUGAGCCUUAUACUAAGCUAUGAGAAUAUGUGUACUCGUUGGUACAAAAAUCGAGAGAUAUCACCAUUUUUUUUGUUUUAAUUUCUAGUAUUUUAUACUCAAAAAUCAUAGUUUUUAUUAUACGAAAGAAUCAGACGUCGGAUGAGCGUAAUUCGUCGGGUGGUUGUUACAAAAUUUAUUGUUUUGUCCAAGUUCAUAUUAAAUAUAUAUUUCUAAAGCCCCUGGCGAAUGUCAGUAGCACAACUAACUCUCAUCCCGAAUAUCUACCUUUCCAUUUUCGGAAUGGAAUUGGUGCGAAUCCAUUCGCAAGCAUACUACUAAUCCAAAUGGUAUACCACUUCACUUCUAUAUAAAUGAUGGAAAAUAAAUAAUAACGCGCAAAGUAUCGGUCACAUCACUUCUGUCGAAUAGCACCGGUCGCCUGCUUGUUUUCACUUUAAAAUAACACGGAAAAAGUGCCCCACGGACGGGAAGCCAUACUUGUUCUAGUAGUGGUAGUACCUCCACGAUAUUGGUCACAAAAUGUUUUUGUCGAAAAAUGUGCUAAGUGCAUAGUGUAAUGUAUCGUUGCUUACAAAUAAAACUGGCACUAUCGUUUCUUUGAACAUAAAAUAAAAAAUAAAAGGGGAUACGACGCUCAUAAAUACAUGUCAAUAAACAAAAAGCCGGUAGAGGGGGAUAUUACGCAAGUUGUUCUAAAUUCUUUCCUGUGAAUGAAUGACUUGAUUUAGUCCUAUUAUUAAGGGACCCUAUUAUCCCUAUAGUGGUCCUAUUGGUCCUAUCACCACUUGAUUCGAGAAAUGAAUUGAGGGAGUCUAUUUCAACAGAAAAAAUAUCCAGAGAUAUGGGCAAAAUGAACGUAUUUGGUGCAGUUAUUUUUCACCUAAUCGAAAACCAAUCCACCUGAAUAUCUCCUGAGGAGAGGAAGUGACAGGAAAGAUUUGGGGACAUUGAUUGUAGGGUUCGAGGGGUGUAUUUAAUGCAUUCAUUUUUUUUCAGCUUUCAAGGUCAUGAUUACGAGCUGCAAGCAUAGGGAGCUUUUUUUUAAAAAAAGCAAUCGCAUUUUUCACCCCAAUGAAACUUGUUUAUUUUGAUGAACAGUUUUUAGAUAUCUCAUCAUUUACGUCAAUUCCCGCGUUUCUCCUCAGAAAAUGCGACGAAAAUGAGUUCUCAUAUCAAACUGAAGGUUCAAACUUUCUCAGCAGAAGCCAGGAUGCACCAGGCGAGUGGGUAUGUUGCAAGUCAACGGUGGCAACAUUGACCAACUCGUGACCUCAUUAGCGCUGUAAACGUCCACACAGGUUUGCGCUAUUUUCCUCCUCUUGGUUAAUGCAAGGGAGGCGAGCAGAGUUUACCUCUACGUGGUGCACCCUGGGUUACCUUAAGAAAGUCCCAAUUUCCACUACCGCAACCCAUUUUCGUCAUAUUUUCGGAGUAAAGACACAGGAAUUGGUAUGGAUGAUGAAGUAUUAUUAUUAUUAUUAUUAUUAUCUAUUUUUCUUUGGUGUUACCUUUUUCGGUUUUACACCUCCUCCUUUCUUUCUCCCUAACACUGUGAUCCCUCUUUGUUUUUACCUCCUCUCCCGUUUCUCUUUUACAUUUUUGUUCCCCUUCCCCUGCGGUGCCAUGGGACCAAC